GCCGUCCCAUAUCCCGUCCGGUAAUGGGUGCCAAAAACACCAUCGCCUCGAUACCCCAUCUAGUAUGAGAGUUAACCAUAUCUCCCAAAAUCCUUCCGGUAUGGGACUUCUCAAUCCUGUUCGACUGAGGUAAUGUCCACGGUAGGGUUCUCUAUGUACCGAGUCCAUCCACCAUUUCCUGAGAUGCCCAGUAAGCUUUCAUUUAUUUAGAUUCUCAUCAACUAAACAACCACCAAAGCAUAUGAACGUCUCGUUUCAUAUUCACCGAUUAAUUAAACGGUAUUUAAGCAAACGAUAUACUUUAACAUAACCGAAUAAGCAAGUAACCAGAUAACCAAUUAAAUAAUGCAGGAGGAACCAAAUAAACCAAAUAAUAGAGAAGGUCAUAAAAACAAUCAAUUUAAAUAUGCACAAUAUAAUAGUAAGUAAUUUAGGCAGUACAGGAAAAAUAAACAAGGAAUCAAGAGAAAUAU
rnacentral:lncRNA from 1 species